rnacentral:rRNA from 1 species
GACAGAGGAUGCAAGCGUUAUCCGGAAUGAUUGGGCGUAAAGCGUCUGUAGGUGGCUUUUUAAGUCUGCCGUCAAAUCCCAGGGCUUAACCCUGGACAGGCGGUGGAAACUACCAAGCUGGAGUACGGUAGGGGCAGAGGGAAUUCCUGGUGUAGCGGUGAAAUGCGUAGAGAUCAGGAAGAACACCGGUGGCGAAGGCGGCGAUCUGGACGAUGACUGACGCUGAGACGCGAAAGCGUGGGGAGCAAACAGG